AUUGAACGCUGGCGGCAUGCCUUACACAUGCAAGUCGAACGGUAACAGGUCUUCGGAUGCUGACGAGUGGCGAACGGGUGAGUAAUACAUCGGAACGUGCCCGAUCGUGGGGGAUAACGCAGCGAAAGCUGUGCUAAUACCGCAUACGAUCUACGGAUGAAAGCGGGGGAUCGCAAGACCUCGCGCGGACGGAGCGGCCGAUGGCAGAUUAGGUAGUUGGUGGGGUAAAGGCUCACCAAGCCUGCGAUCUGUAGCUGGUCUGAGAGGACGACCAGCCACACUGGGACUGAGACACGGCCCAGACUCCUACGGGAGGCAGCAGUGGGGAAUUUUGGACAAUGGGCGCAAGCCUGAUCCAGCCAUGCCGCGUGCAGGAUGAAGGCCUUCGGGUUGUAAACUGCUUUUGUACGGAACGAAAAGACCUUUUCUAAUAAAGAGGGUCCAUGACGGUACCGUAAGAAUAAGCACCGGCUAACUACGUGCCAGCCGCCGCUGUAAAAC
rnacentral:rRNA from 1 species